GGGGACAUAAUUGCCAGAAAAGAGUAUAUGUCCAUUGAACCGAUUGCACUGCCUUCUGCAACAUGAUUUGCAUUUGGCUGUUGGGCGGUAUCUGUGUCAUUGUAUAUACAAAGGAUGUAUAACAUAGAUAAAAAAAAUUUGCAUUUGGCUGUUAGGCGGUAUGUCCGUCAUUGUAUAUGCAAAGGAUGCAUACCAUAGACAAAAAAAAUAGCUAGCUGAUCAAGAGAGAGAAAGAUAAUUUUUUGGAAUAUAAUUUGUAAAGACGAGGAGCAAGGGUUUGACGGUGGUUGC
rnacentral:lncRNA from 1 species